UGUAAGCGUAUACCAAAGUUGUUGCAGUUAAAACGCUCGUAGUCGGAAUUUGGCAGUUCCGGAUGUGUGCACGUCGUUUGCGCACUUCGCGGGGAUUGCUUUUGUGGUCUUGCGUAGGAUGAGGCACUUUUAUUAGUGAACGUCCUCACGCAACCACUUUUUACUGUGAGAAAAUCAGAGUGCUCAAAGCAGGCAUUUGCCGUGAAUGUAUUAGCAUGGAAUAAUAGAAUAGGACUUGGUUCUAUUUUGUUGGUUUGUUGGGACUGAGUAAUGAUUAAGAGGGACAGUUGGGGGCAUUUGUAUUUCGGUGCUAGAGGUGAAAUUCUUAGAUUACCGAAAGACAAACUGCUGCGAAAGCGUCUGCCAAGGAUGUUUUCAUUGA
rnacentral:rRNA from 1 species